GAUGAACGCUGGCGGCGUGCCUAAUACAUGCAAGUCGAGCGAACAGAUGAGGAGCUUGCUCCUCUGACGUUAGCGGCGGACGGGUGAGUAACACGUGGAUAACCUACCUAUAAGACUGGGAUAACUUCGGGAAACCGGAGCUAAUACCGGAUAAUAUAUUGAACCGCAUGGUUCAAUAGUGAAAGACGGUUUUGCUGUCACUUAUAGAUGGAUCCGCGCCGCAUUAGCUAGUUGGUAAGGUAACGGCUUACCAAGGCAACGAUGCGUAGCCGACCUGAGGGGGUGGUUGGCCCAACAGGGAGUAGAUACCGGUCCCAGCCCCCACGGGGAGGAAGCAGUGGGGAACCUCCCGGAAGGGGCGAACGCCUGAGGGAGCAACCCGGCGGGAGGAAUGAAGGUUUUGGUAUCGAAAAACUCUUUUAUUAGGAAAAAAAAAAGUUGAAGGAAACUAGGACGUUUUGGAGGGUACUAAAAAAAAAAGCCGCGCUAACCACCUC
rnacentral:rRNA from 1 species